UGGCGCACGGGUGCGUAACGCGUGGGAAUCUGCCCUUUGGUUCGGAAUAACAGUUGGAAACGACUGCUAAUACCGGAUGAUGACGAAAGUCCAAAGAUUUAUCGCCAGAGGAUGAGCCCGCGUAGGAUUAGCUAGUUGGUGUGGUAAAGGCGCACCAAGGCGACGAUCCUUAGCUGGUCUGAGAGGAUGAUCAGCCACACUGGGACUGAGACACGGCCCAG
rnacentral:rRNA from 1 species